AGAACAUCCCUCAUACCCUUUAACCAACCAUAUCUAAUCACUCAUAUUAUGUGACUUAUGCAGGUUCCGUAUUCAAAUGUCUAUCUCUGAUGUCUCUGAAUGUGUUGUGUAUGUGGAUUUCAAUGGGUAUGUCACCAAGAUGACAAAUGUCACAGCUGCAGAGGUUGCACAGCUAAUGAAUGUAAUCUGCAAACAGAACCCAGGUGUUAAAGACUCAGAUGAGAAAUCCCUCCCAGAAUGCCUCAAGGAUUUAGUUGGAAGGACCUACACUUUCCAGUUAAAACUGUCUGCAUUUAACUUUACUUAACGAGAGCACUUCUUUGACGACGAUGAGUGUCCACCACAACCCAACUUUUAGGAAAGUGUGUAUAACCUACGUGAUGACAUGCCUAGAGCUGGAACUCUGACAACAAAGCCCUCCCUUGGUGUAAGCAACCCCUGAGGCCAGUGUAGAGACGGAGCUUUUUUAGGAGCUGUUUCUGCGAGUGGAGCUUCGCCUACUGAAUCUAUUCCAGGUGGAAUAAAUACUGAGAAGAUACCAUUUCCGAAAAAGGAGCCCGCGGGAAAAAAAAAGCUCCGGAAGACAUAGCUCCUUACUUAUCGAACUAUUGCGACGACCGAACACCACUACUCCUUUUUCUUUUGAUUUUUAAAAUUUUCAAUAAUUUGAAAUGGGCAUGACUAAUUUAUAACCGCUACUGUUAAAUUAUUUUGAUUAUUUACUAGCCUUGUUGAGGACGUAACUUAUGAAUCAAGUUUCAGUAAUUGAGGCAACCUUAGACACGCACAAAACAUUGCUAUUAUUUGACACUGCAGAAAAAAUCAUGCUUUCAGCCUGACUUACAACAUCGAGGACACGUUUAUCUUACAAAAUUAUAACUUCAGAAUUCCCAUUUAGUCAUCAGCCCCAAAUCUUUCUAUGUUCAUGAUUUGAAAUAUGCGCUUUAAACUUUCCUGCAAUUAGCAAACCGAAGACUUAUUAGCGCAAACCAUCCCCUCCUACGUGAACAUGGACAUGCUAAAACGUAAUUUUUCACGCACAAAACUAUCCACAGUUUCCAUUAUUUCUAAAAAAAACUACCAACAACUCCAACAAACAUGUUCCUUAGAAAAUCGGAAACCCCACAGUUUUCACCUGCAAACAAAUGUGAUUGUUACAUUAGUUAUACAAAUAAUAUUAUAGCUCCAAGCAAACAUUUACCAAAGCAUGCUUUCUGGUGCGAGGAACGGCCAACAUCAAGAGCUUCCUGGCACGUAAUGAGCUCUAGUUCACAAUAGAAAUGAGAGCAUUCCUAAUUUAUAUUCCACUUUGUUUUGAAAAUUAUCUGUAAUUCCACUUAAUUUUAAGUCUAUAAUAAAAUAUAACGUAGAAUUAUUUUAAUUUUUGAUUUAUGAUUCUACGUUAUAGUAAAAAAAAAACAUGAAAGUAAAACUCAAUUCGAUUUUGAAGUUAAUUUAUAAAGUAAGAACUGAAGUGAUUUGUUGAUGCUGUAAAGCAAAUCUUUAUGACACUAUUAUAGUUGGCGCUGGAAAGAGGGGGCUGAAGAGAACUAGCUUCAAAGCAUGUCAAACAUGAAAGAAUCCUAGAUCGAUAUUCAUCUUCUGUUUCUAAAAAAAGGAAAGAAAAAAAAAGCUUGGCUUUUGAUUCCACAAUCUGAGCUUGCCGUCUCAUCCUUUGGCUCGUAGAGAUUGCAGCAAAGCUCAAUACUUUAUCUCGGCGGCGAUGGCGAUCUCGCGAUGAUUGAGUCUCGUUCCGACGAUCUCCAAAACCUACUCGAGGAAGCUCCAAGCCCAACCUCAUGAACCG